rnacentral:rRNA from 1 species
UACGAAGGGGACUAGCGUUGUUCGGAAUUACUGGGCGUAAAGGGCUCGUAGGCGGCCAACUAAGUCAGACGUGAAAUCCCUCGGCUUAACCGGGGAACUGCGUCUGAUACUGGAUGGCUUGAAUCCGGGAGAGGGAUGCAGAAUUCCAGGUGUAGCGGUGAAAUGCGUAGAUAUCUGGAGGAAUACCGGUGGCGAAGGCGGCAUCCUGGACCGGCAUUGACGCUGAUGAGCGAAAGCUAGGGGAGCAAACGGG